UACUGAUGCCCGCGUCGCG
rnacentral:siRNA from 1 species